rnacentral:rRNA from 1 species
GAUGAACGCUGGCGGCGUGCCUAAUACAUGCAAGUCGAGCGAACGGACGAGAAGCUUGCUUCUUUGAUGUUAGCGGCGGACGGGUGAGUAACACGUGGAUAACCUACCUAUAAGACUGGGAUAACUUCGGGAAACCGGAACUAAUACCGGAUGAUAUUUUGAACCGCAUGGUUCAAAAGUGAAAGACGGUCUUGCUGUCACUUAUAGAUGGAUCCGCGCUGCAUUAGCUAGUUGGUAAGGUAACGGCUUACCAAGGCAACGAUGCAUAGCCGACCUGAGAGGGUGAUCGGCCGCACGAGAGCUGAGACGCGGUCCAGGGUCCUACGGGAGGCAGCAGUAGGGAAUCUUCCGCAAUAGGCGAAAGCCUGACAGAGCGACGCCGCGUGAGUGAUGGAGGUCUUCGGAUCGUGAAACUCUCUUAUUGGGGAAGAACAGCUGUGUAAGUAACUGUGCACAGCUUGACGGUACCUAAUCAGGAAGCCACGGCUAACUACGUG